GAUGAACGCUGGCGGCGUGCCUAAUACAUGCAAGUCGAACGCUGAAGGAGGAGCUUGCUCUUCUGGAUGAGUUGCGAACGGGUGAGUAACGCGUAGGUAACCUGCCUGGUAGCGGGGGAUAACUAUUGGAAACGAUAGCUAAUACCGCAUGACAACAGUUAUUGCAUGAUAACUGUUUAAAAGGGGCAACUGCUCCACUACCAGAUGGACCUGCGUUGUAUUAGCUAGUUGGUGAGGUAACGGCUCACCAAGGCGACGAUGCAUAGCCGACCUGAGAGGGUGAUCGGCCACACUGGGACUGAGACACGGCCCAGACUCCUACGGGAGGCAGCAGUAGGGAAUCUUCGGCAAUGGACGGAAGUCUGACCGAGCAACGCCGCGUGAGUGAAGAAGGUUGUCGGAUCGUAAAGCUCUGUUGUAAGAGAAGAACGAGUGUGAGAGUGGAAAGUUCACACUGUGACGGUAUCUUACCAGAAAGGGACGGCUAACUACGUG
rnacentral:rRNA from 1 species